GACGAACGCUGGCGGCGUGCUUAACACAUGCAAGUCGAGCGAUGAAACACCUUCGGGUGUGAAUUAGCGGCGAACGGGUGAGGAACACGUGAAGAAUCUGCCUUCAACUCUGGGAUAACUCCGGGAAACCGGGGCUAAUACCGGAUAUGAGCCUUGAUCGCAUGAUCGGGGCUGGAAAGUUUUUCGGUUGAAGAUGACUUCGCGGCCUAUCAGCUUGUUGGUGAGGUAAUGGCUCACCAAGGCGACGACGGGUAGCCGGCCUGAGAGGGCGACCGGCCACACUGGGACUGAGACACGGCCCAGACUCCUACGGGAGGCAGCAGUGGGGAAUAUUGGGCAAUGGAGGAAACUCUGACCCAGCGACGCCGCGUGAGGGAUGAAGGCCUUCGGGUUGUAAACCUCUUUCAGUAGGGAAGAAGCGAAAGUGACGGUACCUACAGAAGAAGCACCGGCUAACUAUGUGCCAGCAGCCGCGGUAAUACAUAGGGUGCAAGCGUUGUCCGGAAUUAUUGGGCGUAAAGAGCUCGUAGGUGGUUCGAUACGUCGGAUGUGAAAAUCAGGGGCUCAACCCCUGACCUGCAUCCGAUACGGUCGAGCUAGAGUUUGGUAGGGGAGACUGGAAUUCCUGGUGUAGCGGUGGAAUGCGCAGAUAUCAGGAGGAACACCGAUGGCGAAGGCAGGUCUCUGGGCCAAUACUGACACUGAGGAGCGAAAGCGUGGGGAGCGAACAGGAUUAGAUACCCUGGUAGUCCACGCCGUAAACGGUGGGCGCUAGUUGUGCGAACCUUCCACGGUUUGUGCGACGCAGCUAACGCAUUAAGCGCCCCGCCUGGGGAGUACGAUCGCAAGAUUA
rnacentral:rRNA from 1 species